AAAUUUGAAAUCUGGCCCCCAGGGCCCGAGUUGUAAUUUGCAGAGGAUGCUUUUGGCGCGGCGCCUUCCGAGUUCCCUGGAACGGGACGCCACAGAGGGUGAGAGCCCCGUCCGGUCGGACGCCAAGCCAGUGUAAAGCUCCUUCGACGAGUCGAGUAGUUUGGGAAUGCUGCUCUAAAUGGGAGGUAUAUGUCUUCUAAAGCUAAAUACCGGCCAGAGACCGAUAGCGCACAAGUAGAGUGAUCGAAAGAUGAAAAGCACUUUGAAAAGAGGGUUAAACAGUACGUGAAAUUGUUGAAAGGGAAGCGCUUGUGACCAGACUUGGGCCCGGUGAAUCACCCGGCGUUCUCGCCGGUGCACUUCGCCGGGCCCAGGCCAGCAUCAGUUCGCCGCGGGGGACAAAAGCUUCGGGAACGUGGCUCCCCCGGGAGUGUUAUAGCCCGUUGCACAAUGCCCUGCGGCGGACUGAGGUUCGCGCUCCGCAAGGAUGCUGGCGUAAUGGUCAUCAGCGACCCGUCUUGAAACACGGACCAAGGAGUCGUCUUCGUAUGCGAGUGUUCGGGUGCCAAACCCCUACGCGUAAUGAAAGUGAACGCAGGUGAGAGCUUCGGCGCAUCAUCGACCGAUCCUGAUGUUCUCGGAUGGAUUUGAGUAAGAGCAUACGGGGCCGGACCCGAAAGAAGGUGAACUAUGCCUGUAUAGGGUGAAGCCAGAGGAAACUCUGGUGGAGGCUCGCAGCGGUUCUGACGUGCAAAUCGAUCGUCA
rnacentral:rRNA from 1 species